GGUGGUAUGGGUGUCUUCCUCCAUCUUGGAUUGUAAAAAAAAGAGAAUCAAAGGUCCAGAUUUUCCAUCAAGUUAGCAAAAUUUGAUGCUGGAAUGCAGAUGUUAAAUGUACAUUUUCAUUUAAAAGUACCAAUUUAUAAGAAUAUAACUUCUAAAUAUUGAUAUUUUUGCAAAUGUUAAUUAUUUUUGGUUGUUUUUAUUUUUUU
rnacentral:lncRNA from 1 species